AUUUAACCAGUCUUCUCUCCCAAUUUAUCCAGUUUAUUUUAUUAUUUGAUUUUUAGCAAGCCUUCUCGUGCCAAAAGUUUUGCUUCCUGGGCUUCCUUCCCUCUUUGUUUGUUACUUUAUAGUUGAAUCAACUUGAGACACUCAGUCCCGAAAGCAUUAAUGUAUUAAACAAUGGCAAUUAUCAUUUGCGUCUGCUUUUUAUUUUUUUGGUAUGAAUUUGCAUGUAUAUUGCUGAAGGAAAAAAUUUACAUUUUGCAAUACAUGUGUACAUUUGUGAUGUAUCAGGGUAUUCUAAAGAAAAGGAUCCCUAAAAAAUCUGUCUCUGAUAAAAUGCUCCAUAAUGCCUAUUAUUAUCAAGAACUCAAGAAUCAUUCAUUACAAUUUCAGCGUGACGGACAAAUGAUGCAACCCUUCUUCCCUGAUACUUCUUUAAGUUAUCAUCAUAAUUCUUCAUUUAUUAGUAAUGUUUCGAGGAUUGGCUCCCCUUACUACAUACAUGCCAGUACUCCUCUUUGCAUUUUUCUGAAUAUUGGUCUCCGUGAGGCCACAUGCAUUUUGAAAGGCACUGUUGGAUACAAUCCGGGUUGUUAUUCUGUUCAUUUGAUGGUGACCAUGCUUGUUCAUUUGUUGGUGACAAUGUUUCUUCAUUUGUUUCUGACCAUGGCCAAUCCCAGGCUUAUCCAACGUCGAAGCAGACAGACAUGACAAGCAUUACAAUUAGGAUAGUUUUGGUGAUUUUUCUUGUUGACAUUUUUGCUUUCCUUGAUAUUGUGUGUGUCAGUUUGCAAUGCGAUGAAUAGGUUCUGGAGAGGCAGAUUUCAAAUGCAAUGGAAGAGGUUUCAGGCAUGGAAUUUUAGAUUUCCUUAUUGGAUCAUUUGAGUUGAUGGUUGCCCAAACAUUUGGCAACUUGAAGCUUCAACAAGUUAACGUCUUAACUUAAGGAUGAAAGGGCCAAAACCCAGCAGUUGGCAUUGUUUUGAAGACUCUUUUUACAUAGUGGUGCAAGUGCAAAUCUUGCCAUGGAAUUUUCCUUGACAAAUAUAGUGUAAGCCAAGCUGUAUGUUUCACUUUCACAUCCUCCUGGGGUUUAAAGAAUUUCAGAGUUAUUUUGCAUUU